rnacentral:rRNA from 1 species
GACGAACGCUGGCGGCGUGCUUAACACAUGCAAGUCGAACGGAAAGGCCCUGCUUUUGUGGGGUGCUCGAGUGGCGAACGGGUGAGUAACACGUGAGUAACCUGCCCUUGACUUUGGGAUAACUUCAGGAAACUGGGGCUAAUACCGGAUAGGAGCUCCUGCUGCAUGGUGGGGGUUGGAAAGUUUCGGCGGUUGGGGAUGGACUCGCGGCUUAUCAGCUUGUUGGUGGGGUAGUGGCUUACCAAGGCUUUGACGGGUAGCCGGCCUGAGAGGGUGACCGGCCAAAUUGGGACUGAGAUACGGCACAGACUCCUACGGGAGGCAGCAGUGGGGAAUAUUGCACAAUGGGCGGAAGCCUGAUGCAGCAACGCCGCGUGCGGGAUGAAGGCCUUCGGGUUGUAAACCGCUUUCGCCUGUGACGAAGCGUGAGUGACGGUAAUGGGUAAAGAAGCACCGGCUAACUACGUG